UACGAAGGGGGCUAGCGUUGUUCGGAAUUACUGGGCGUAAAGCGCACGUAGGCGGAUCGAUCAGUCAGGGGUGAAAUCCCAGAGCUCAACUCUGGAACUGCCUUUGAUACAGCACGUCUUGAGUCCGGAAGAGGUGGGUGGAAUUCCUAGUGUAGAGGUGAAAUUCGUAGAUAUUAGGAAGAACACCGGUGGCGAAGGCGGCCCACUGGUCCGGUACUGACGCUGAGGUGCGAAAGCGUGGGGAGCAAACAGG
rnacentral:rRNA from 1 species